rnacentral:rRNA from 1 species
GACGAACGCUGGCGGCGUGCCUAAUACAUGCAAGUAGAACGCACAGUUUAUACCGUAGCUUGCUCCACCAUAGACUGUGAGUUGCGAACGGGUGAGUAACGCGUAGGUAACCUGCCUGGUAGCGGGGGAUAACUAUUGGAAACGAUAGCUAAUACCGCAUAAUAUUAAUUAUUGCAUGAUAAUUAAUUGAAAGGUGCAAUUGCACCACUACCAGAUGGACCUGCGUUGUAUUAGCUAGUAGGUGAGGUAACGGCUCACCUAGGCGACGAUACAUAGCCGACCUGAGAGGGUGAUCGGCCAAACUGGGACUGAGAAACGGCCCAGAAUCCUACGGGAGGCAGCAGUAGGGAAUCUUCGGCAAUGGACGAAAGUCUGACCGAGCAACGCCGCGUGAGUGAAGAAGGUUUUCGGAUCGUAAAGCUCUGUUGUAAGAGAAGAACGGGUGUGAGAGUGGAAAGUUCACACUGUGACGGUAUCUUAACAGAAAGGGACGGCUAACUACGUG